rnacentral:tRNA from 1 species
UGGGGUAUAGCUCAAGUGGUAGAGUGCAUGCUUAGCAUGCAUGAGGUCCUGGGUUCAAUCCCCAGUACCUCCU